CCUCUGUAGUCAAAUAUGUACUGAGAAUGCAGCAGGUGAGAUGAGGAGUAUGUGAUCAAUGCCUUGGAUCUAUAAUAGAUACCACUUCUUCUUCGCUGUUUGGGCAUUGGGAACUGUUAGCAGUUGAGGUCGAACUUCAGGCUUUCUAUGAGUUUUAAUUUCUCUGCCAAUUGGCACCACAGUAAACUCAAGUUGGCCAGCAAAACAAACCAUCCAACCUAAUGCAAAGUGUAAUCAUCACUAUGUAGAACUACUAAGGUUACUCCAGGAACUAUCUCCAAAAGGCAUUUUAGCACCAGGAUAUCCUGAUUCCUGAAGGACCAAAAUUGCUCUGUCGAUAUAUUGGUGUUGCCCCAUUCAUUUGCAGCACGCUCUUUUUGAGUCCAUGCUGACAGAACUGACUUGGCCCAUAGGACAGAGGAAAUAGAGCAUAUCCACGAUACCUGCAAGCAUGAGAACAAUCAACUAAAGUUCUUUCACUGUGCUUAAAAGAACUACAAAUUUGUGGAAAUAAAGAAGACAAACAUCUCCUUGUCAACUGCCAAAAAAGAGAAAAAAAAAAGGGAAGCCACCACCAUCCACCUCACUCUGCAUUUACAUGACCAGUUACUAAUAACGGGAGGGGGAAAUUUUAUUAUCAUGUCAUUAUUAAGGCUAUUACUCCUGCUUCAUGAACAAUAUGUUAAUAUUCAUAAUUAUUUGUACUACAAGUCUACCAUUGUCUUCUAGUACAAUUCCUUAGAUAUGGAGUAGUUAUUGAUUUGUUGUUGUCUCUAAAUCAGUUUCAAGAACUAAAUUGUGUACGUAGUUGUGUUUGUAUCCAUGAGAAGAUGCAGUUUGUAGCACAGAUCAAGCUUAUCAUCAGUAGUCAUAGUAUACCUUUCUAUACCGUUAAAUGAAGUUGCAAUUGAUGGUUACAACCUACAAUGACACCAACAGAAAAAGAAAUAGAAUUGCAAAUUGGAGCAGGUUUCUUACCUUAUAAAUAAUGAUGAAAUGGUUAGCUGAAAAUCCAAUCACAAACUCAAAUAAUCACUGUUAC
rnacentral:lncRNA from 1 species